rnacentral:rRNA from 1 species
UACGUAGGUGGCAAGCGUUAUCCGGAAUUAUUGGGCGUAAAGCGCGCGUAGGUGGUUUUUUAAGUCUGAUGUUAAAGCCCACGGCUCAACCGUGGAGGGUCAUUGGAAACUGGAAAACUUGAGUGCAGAAGAGGAAAGUGGAAUUCCAUGUGUAGCGGUGAAAUGCGCAGAGAUAUGGAGGAACACCAGUGGCGAAGGCGACUUUCUGGUCUGUAACUGACGCUGAUGUGCGAAAGCGUGGGGAUCAAACAGG